rnacentral:tRNA from 1 species
CAACAGGUGUCUGAAAGUAAGUUUAGGUCUUUUAAACCUAAUAUAGGGGUAACGCCCUCUUCUGUUGA